CAAUAGCGUAUAUUAAAGUUGUUGCAGUUAAAAAGCUCGUAGUUGGAUAUCUGACGAGAGUUGACGGCCCGCCUUCGGGAUGAGCGCUGGAUUCUCGAGUCUAUCUUUCGGUUGUUAGCCUUUCCCUUCAUUGGGCGAGGUCUAGUAUCCGGAUCAGUUACUUUGAAUAAAAACGGGUGUUCAACGCAGGCUUAUGCCUUGAAGUAUGCAGCAUGGAAUAGCAACCAUAGGACUAUAGUGUUCUAUUCAGUUGGUUCUGGGACCUUAGUAAUGAUUGAUAGGGACAGUUGGGGGUGCUGCUAUUCCGCGGCCAGAGGUGAAAUUCUCAGAUUCCCGGAAGAGCAACUUAUGCGAAAGCAUUCACCAAGGAUGUCUUCUUUAA
rnacentral:rRNA from 1 species